rnacentral:miRNA from 1 species
AGGGCUUGGAGAAAUAACACGCU